rnacentral:rRNA from 1 species
AUACGGAGGGCGCAAGCGUUGUUCGGAAUCAUUGGGCGUAAAGCGCGUGUAGGUGGCUUGGAAAGUUGGAUGUGAAAGCCCGGGGCCCAACCCCGGAAUUGCACUCAAAACUCCCUAGCUAGAGUCCCGGAGAGGAAGGCGGAAUUCCCGGUGUAGAGGUGAAAUUCGUAGAUAUCGGGAGGAACACCAGUGGCGAAGGCGGCCUUCUGGACGGUGACUGACACUGAGACGCGAAAGCGUGGGGAGCAAACAGGAUUAGAAACCCCGGUAGUCC